AGAGUUUGAUCCUGGCUCAGGAUGAACGCUGGCGGCGUGGAUAAGGCAUGCAAGUCAAGGGGGCCCGCAAGGGCAACCGGCAGACGAGGUAGUAACACGUAGGUACGCACCGGAGAGUCGGGCAUAGCUAGUCGAAAGAUUAGGUAAUUCCCGAUAGUCUCGAAAGAGUAAAGAUUUUUUGCUCUCUGAGCGGCCUGCGGAAUAUCAGCUAGUUGGUAGGGUAAUGGCCUACCAAGGCUACGACGUUUAGGGGAGGUGAGAGCCUGACCCCCACCGAUGGUACUGAGACACGGACCAUACACCUACGGGUGGCUGCAGUCGAGAAUCUUCCACAAUGGACGAAAGUCUGAUGGAGCGACGCCGCGUGAUCGAUGAAGUCUUUCGGGAUGUAAAGAUCUUUUAUGAACGAGAAAGUUAUUGAUCAGUUCAUGAAUAAGAGGUUGCUAAACUCGUGCCAGCAGCAGCGGUAAUACGAGUGCCUCGAGCGUUAUCCGGAAUCAUUGGGCGUAAAGCGUGUGUAGGCGGUCAUGUUAGUCUCCUGUAAAAUUCUUCGGCUUAACCGGGGGCGCGCGGGGGAAACGGCAUGACUUGAGGAUGCGAGAGGUGAGUGGAACUCUAGGUGUAGGGGUGAAAUCCGUUGAUAUCUAGGGGAACACA
rnacentral:rRNA from 1 species